ACGAACGCUGGCGGCGCGCCUAACACAUGCAAGUCGCACGAGCGAGAGAGAGCUUGCUUUCUUGAGCGAGUGGCGAACGGGUGAGUAACGCGUGAGGAUCCUGCCUCAAAGAGGGGGACAACAGUUGGAAACGACUGCUAAUACCGCAUAAGCCCACGACCCGGCAUCGGGUUGAGGGAAAAGGAGCAAUCCGCUUUGAGAUGGCCUCGCGUCCGAUUAGCUAGUUGGUGAGGUAACGGCCCACCAAGGCGACGAUCGGUAGCCGGACUGAGAGGUUGAACGGCCACAUUGGGACUGAGACACGGCCCAGACUCCUACGGGAGGCAGCAGUGGGGAAUAUUGCACAAUGGGGGAAACCCUGAUGCAGCGACGCCGCGUGGAGGAAGAAGGUCUUCGGAUUGUAAACUCCUGUUGUUGAGGAAGAUAAUGACGGUACUCAACAAGGAAGUGACGGCUAACUACGUG
rnacentral:rRNA from 1 species